GUUUCCAGUCCUAAUAGCUAAAGCAGAAAAGAAGGCAGUCGUUGAAGUGCCUUGGGAUCACUGGCCUCUCUAUGACCUGAGAAUAGUUUUCCAUCAAAAUAGACGGCACCAAGGAAAUUGUAUUGUCAAAAGAGAAACUUUCCCUGGAUCCCUUCUAACACAGUGAAACACAGACCCAGCCUUGCUCUUGCCUGCACUCAGCCACACUGUGGAAAACAGGUGAGGAAGUUCAGUAUGUGUGUGUGUUUUUGACAGUGGAACCAAAUCUUACACCUUUGCUGUGCAGUCACUACUAUUCUCACAUAUUACUUGUUAUUUACUUGCUCCCUUACUCUAGGAUCAGAAUCAUGCCUUUUUGAGAUUAAGACACACAGGAGGAAGGACUCACUUCACAAGAGAUUGGGAUGGGGCCCAGGGAGCAGAGGUUCCAGCCUCUGGGAUGGUUCCUACUUUCCCUCUCAGCAUGCUCUGUCUGACACUAAUGGAGGGGGCAGAGCCUCCAUUCCCUGUUGUAUUUGCAUCAGAUAAAGUAGUAAUUAAUGACUUAACCUUUCCAUGGGAGCAAACUUUCACUUCAUUAACGGUGGCAUCAUUAGCAGAGGGGCUAAUUCACCAUGUGAUCCAGACACAGCUGUGACCUGCAUGGAGCCAUGCAAUGACAGUGCUAAUUAGCACCUCAGUGCCACGUGAGCACUCAUCCACAGUCACUUUGGCUGAGGCCAUAACUAAUUUCACAUGAAUCACCAAGCAGCCAUUGCCUGGUAACAAAUUUUGGCCUGUAACGGCUUCGGCAAGACCUCCAACCCUGCCACCAAGGAUAAAUGACAUCCUGUUGUUAUCUGUCCUCUAGACAGCUGCUAAAUUCCCACAGCAGCUUUGGUUUGCUGUCUCCAUCUCAGGAUAGUGCUCCAGGCUUUGCAUCAUGUCGCUGAUAUGAACAUGAAUAAUGAGUGUAAUUAAGAGCUGACUGGGCAGAGAUGUAUCGGGCCCUGGUAGCAGAAGCUCAAGUUGGACCUUAGACAUAUUUCUUCCUUUUUGGUCUAGCAUUUGGAUCAAUGGGGAGAGGAGUGAGCAAGAGUGCUAAGGCAGGGCUAACAGCUUUCUCAAAAUUCCCAGCCUGACACUUUUAUGCAUUUAAUUCUGCCUCUGAUCAUUCAGCAUGGCUGUGUGCAUGACACUGUGAGGAGCUGCAGGAGAAAUACCUAUGAUGAAAGAUUGUUUGGGAUUGCAGAGAAGUGCUGUGUUUUGGCAGGGGUGCAGACAGGGUUUACCCAGGAAGUGUAAGAAAGUUAAACUUUCUGAUUAGCUGGAUUUUGUAGUUGGGCAAGGCCUUGGAGUUAGUGGUGUUAAGUGAGCUAUUACCUACAAGAAGAAAGUAUCUUCUUUCCUAGAACCCAGAAUAUUAAUUUCUCUUGUGUUGUUGAUGUUUAUUCUCAAAGGUUGAUCUGGUUUUCACCAAUAUCUUUUAGCUAUUUUCCUAAUGCCUACUGUAUAGGAUACUUGAGGGAGCCCCUGUUGCCUUGAGAACAGCCCCCGUGUGACUGGAGUGAGCAUCAGUGUGGGCACACACACCCUGAGAGUGUCCCAGCUGCUAGGGUUUCAAUGAAACCUGCCACCAGAUUCAUCCCUAUCUGCUGCUGUUGACAAUGGCUAAGCUAAAAGCUGUCUACAUUAAACUUUUGGGGAACACAUAGGAAAGAAUAAUGCGAAACUUUUUGUUGGAAAACAAACAAACCACCAAAACCCCCGAACUCCCCAGAAAGCCAAACCCAGUGUUAGUACAGAAGUAAAAAUUGCUAAUCCAGCUCUGAUUCUUAAACCUAGUUGCCGUAACAAGUAGUGCCAACAAUGCAAUAUUCAGAACGCCUGUGUUGGUGGUUGGGUUUUUUUGGUGGUUUUUAUUUUUUUUUUUUAAUUUUAUUUUUAAUUUCUUUCUCAGGUGUUUAGCUUGUAUUUCCUUAUGCAAAACCCACCUUUUUCCACUGGAAGCUUCAGAAUUGCAGCACGCAACACAGUAAUAAGUCAAGGGAGAAAAAUUUAGCAACUGGAUUAAGAUCAAAAUUCAUAGUAUCUUUUACAGACAGAUUAUCAUGUAGAGGUCCCCACAGAGUUCAAAUAAGGCUAAGCAAAUGUAUUUACAGGCUGGAUAUAUAGCAUCCAAGCUGUCAGGUUUCAGCAAUGGGACUGGACUUUACCCUGAGAUAUAAGUUUAUCUACUGGUAAAAUAAGGUAUGUUGGUGGACCCUCUGAAGUGAAGCAGAAAAUCAAAGCCCCUGACCAUUUGCAGUCAGUAAAAUUUACAUGGCCCUGUUUAUAAGGGGCCUAUUCAGUGGUUCUGGACAUAUUUCAGUUUGUGUUUAUGCUUGGCCUUCUUAAAAUAUGUUUUUCCUGUUUUCUGUACUUCAUUGAAAAUGUGCUCUGCCCUUUGCUUUACAGACCGUCACCAUCUAACUUUUAACAAUUCCAGUCUGAUUAAGUUUAGUGAAGGACGAAGUGAUCCCUAUUUGUGUGUGUUUUUCUGAAGUACUGCUGACAAAAGCUGUGUAAAUGGAACACAUGACUACCGUUUAUGGCAGAUUAAGCUUGUUCAGCAUUUGUCAGUAAUGUACCCAGUUUGCAAUUAAAAUAAAAGGAUUUUGUGGUGGGGUUGUUUUUGUUAUUUGCAUUAAUAAUUAACCUAAUCUGACAAAAACUACCUGGCAAAAAUAGCUAGACUGGACAGAUACGUGGCAGAAGGCUUCUCAGUGGGAAGAAGGCAACCUUCAGAAGCAAACAGCAAAGCUGUAUGUUAAGUCUGCAGAGAGAAGCAGUUUAGAUAGAUUUUUUUUUUUUUUUCCCAACAGUAAAAUACAGUUUAAACCAUCUCUUUUUCUGUUGUUCAUGUCAGCAGUAUGCUCUCAUUUGCCUGCCUUUCCAAGAACAUAGCUCUGUGUGAUAGCACCCAAGCCAAACUAUGCUCUGCAAGCUGUUGUGCCAAAUCAGGAAAUUUUAGGGAAUUUGUGGACCCUGGGGAAAAAGGUCUAUAAUGGCUUUGACACAUGGAACCAUGGCAAAGCUGUUGUGUUUCUAGACUGAUUUCACUUCUGUUUUACCUUUGUAGUUUGCUAUGACCUCCAUAUAAGAAAGGCAAACUAUGGUGGUUGAUGUCUAGCAGCCUUGUGAGGACAAACUAAGAGGGAAACCAGUUUGGAUCUUUAAGCUACAAUGUGAGUGGAAAUGUGACUGACAGCACACUGAUUGAGGGGGAAAGGCAACAGCUUUGGCAUUAUAUUUUGGAUUUUCUGGCGUCUAACAAAUUGUCCUUGACCUGCCCCUGCAUGUUGCCUUUUUGUAUUUAAGAAUUUAAAGGGAAAAAAAAAGGGGGGGAGGGGGGCGGGGGGGCAAAGAAAAUCUUAUGUUCUUCAUUAUCAAGGGCAGUGGAAAAUCUGCAAAAACUCGAGACUGGAAAAUGAAGUAGACAAAGUCAAUGGGUGGUCUGUGUUCACUGCAACAUAUUUUCAAGUGUCUGGACACUGAAUUUGUUGUAACCACUUGCGCUUUAGAAGCAUAUAUCUGGGUGGAAAGGGAGUGGGGGAAAGAGAAAAGUAACAAAUGUUGUUUACCAAGACAAUAUGUUCCUACCAAUACUGAGUUUAAAAAAGAAAGUAAAAAUAUUUCUGGAAAGGAAACACGAAACAGUGUAUUGUUAAGAAUCACGUUGUUUAUAUUUUUGUAUCACAGCCCAGCCUCAGUUCUUCUGUGUCACUGAAUGUAAUUCCACUUCUAAUCUUACUUUUGUUUCUUACCUAAAUGAAGCACGUAAGUUAAAUACUUUAGAUUCCUUUAAAAUAUGCUGAUCAGUUGUAGGUCCUAAACCCAUGGAUGUUUCAUCUUCAUGUUGACUAGAAGAGGCAGACUUUCCUUGGCUUUGUGUUUUUUGGGAAAAUGCCUCCAUUGCUGCGCAUUUGACAGUAGCAGCAGCAGGAGGCUUUUCAGAUACAGAGUUGCCAGGUAGGUGCAGCCCUACACCAGCGCGCAAAGCUUCUCAUGUUACUGGGCAGAUGUGCCAUAUAAGCAAAACAAAAUCGACUUUUAUUUAUUUAUUUGUUUUAAAGAAGGGCAUUUAUUUUUUAUUUUUAUUGUUUUUUCCCCUCUAGGAGACUUGGGAAAGCCAUUUUGUAUUCAGUGUGUAUCUCUGUCCAGGGCUGUCUUCACUUUCCCUGCACGUUGCUAGCACAGCAAACAGGACUGUGAGGGUGAAAUUGUGGCAUGAACUUAUGAGAAAGACCUCUUCAGACUCAUGUGUCUUGUGUCAGAGAUCCACAUUCAAUGAUGAUGUAUACAGAUAACCAGGUCUGAUUUCCAGGAAUGGCAAGAGGCACAGCAAACUACAGACAUAGUGGGAAGAAUGAAGCUCACCCUGAAGCAGCAAUCUGCAACCCACUUUCUGAAGUCUCCUGGUGGUGGUGGAGAACUGCUGAGGAAAAUGCUUUGGCAAACAGAGAGGGGAGCACACCAUCUUACUGCUGGUACUCAUCCUGUAACCAAGAAAGAAGACGCCCUUCCUCUGCAUCCUGUGAUGUGCACGUAUUUCAUGUCAGGAGAGCUUUCUUGUGCAGGUCAGCAUACAGCUGAUGUAUUAUGCUCAACAUGUAAUUAAGAUUCAGAUGGAACCUCUCUGCUGCUCAGACUUUGAAGUACAUUUCUGGCCUUCAAACACAGAGAAAACUUACAUAAUAAUUACUGGACUGGAUGUUCCUCUCUGUCUUCCUGUACAUCAUCAUGCUGACAUUUCAUCAGUGACAUGAAUUUUCCAUGUGACUUGUAUCCAGCUUUUAAAACCUGCCUGCAUAUAGCUGUGUCAAAGUUAUCUACUUUCAGAAUAAUUAUUAUGCUUUAAAUGCUUGCAACUGUGAAAACCCAUAGCCAGAUGUUUCCUAAUGAACAAUGUGUGCCAUGGCUGGCUGCAUGUGAACAGUAGAAAUACAAACUUUUCAAAACAAUACACAUUUUGUGGUCAGCUUUCUCCAAACUAGUGAGUGUCCCCACCAAAAGCAAUUUCCUGGCAGAGUGUAAGGGUACAGCAGCUGUUUGAGAAAAAAAGAAUAAAGAAAAACAAAACAAAACGAAUAAAACCACCUCAGUUGCUGGGGUGAUUUUAUAAAUCCUCAUUUUUAUUUUUAUUUUUUUUUAGACUGCCCAAAUUUGCACCUGGAAUUCAUGAAGUAACACACAGAAAAGGGUCCUUCAUAUGCAUUAGGUACGAGACAUCAUUACAUUUGUUGUGUCAUAAAUUCUGUAUGCGAGCCUUCUGAUUUGGGAAGCUGAAUGAAAAGUUACUUAUCUAGAAGUCAGACACAUCUAUGAGGAAGGAAAGAUGCUUUUCUGAGUCCAUACCUCCUUAGCAGAAUAAGCCUAAAUUUCAGAGGACUUCACACACAUAUUCGGAUCCCAUUAAAUCAAUUAGAAAUAUUCUUAUUCAGCAUCUCAGCUAAUUCUUUCUAGAAAAGUGAAACAAACAGAAGUGGUAAUUUCAGUUUAAGAGGUGUAUUUUGUUAACAAUUUGUGUUUGGCGGCUUUUUGGUACAGAAAUGUAUUAUUAUUACAGAAAAUGACUUUAAAAUCCAUUUCACCCAUAAUUAAUUAUGGCCUUUGUUUGUCUGUUUGUCUUUGCUUCUGUAUUUAUCACAGAAGAUUAAUAAGGUCAGUGUAUUACAUGGAAUGCCUCACUGAUCUAUAGGAUUUUUCUGUUAUUCAUUAACUAUUUUUUCCUAUGGGAAAGAAGAGAAGGCAUACACCAUGUCAAUAUUAUGAUGUUCUAAAAUGCUGUCUGAAGGCAUUCCCUUACGUAUACCAGAACUUUACAUAUUUCUUCGGGUUCUCCCUAGAACAGAGAGGCUUUCGAUUUCUUUUAAAUAUUUAUUUUCAGAAGAAGUGAAAGAUCUGUUUCUUUGUCUUCUUUAUUCUGCCAGAACAUAAUAAGGAAAAGAGAAUUUAAAAAUAAUCACUAUACUUCCAAACAUAUUUAAUGUGUAUAUAUUUGGAUACAUAUUAUUCACUUUUGUAUUUUCUUUUAUUACUUGCUUCUCAGAAUAAAGAAGGCAAAGAAACUAAUGGAAAUACAAGCCAAAGAAAUAGUGUGUGAGAGGGUGUAUGUCUGCAUGUAAUAAUUUAUAUACUAAGUUCAUCACAUAGUAAUACAAACCAUCUAAGUAGCAAUGUUCCCCUGCUUCAUUAUGCUGUGCACAGAAAAACUGACAUUUGUGUUAGAGAUCUUGUAGUAUUCAUUGCCAUCUGGAUCUGUUGCUCUUUCAUUGUUCUGCUCAUCUCAAUUUAAAACACAGUUCUGAUUUUGAUCUCAGAGUACUAUAAAUCCAAAAUAGGUCUAACAACUUCAAAGAAGUUUAUUUCUGCUUUACAUAGUUAUAACUAAGAUACCAAUCUGGCCCACAGGCACAUUCAUUUUAUAGCGAGUUAAAACAUGUACCCUUACUACUGGCAAAUCCUUAAGGUUAACAGAAAAACGCGCUGUUAUCGUAGCAGCUACAGUGCCUAUUUUUUUUUUUUUUAAUCCAGAGCUAUUUUUGGUUCCUUCCCCUUUAACACACAUUCCUGGUACCAACUAAGAGCAGCUUGUCUUAGUAUAAAAUUAAAGCUGAUAGCUGAGCACUUUAUGUAUCAAAUACGUUUUCUGUUUAGAUGAUGAUAGUUGUAUAUGGAGUAGAAAUGUGAGGUCUGAUUCUCCCUUUAGUUGCAGUGGUGUAAACCACCAGAGAUGGGGUGAAAGGUAGAUAGGAAAAUAUUCUGGGGAUCUAUUAAUAUUUGAUGCUCAGCUAUCAAAAGAAGAUUGUGAUGCAGAAACAGGGACAGCUUGUGCCUUUGUGGGCUCUGAACCAAUCCUGUCCCUGUUUGUGGAAAGUCUGCUUGGAGGGGAAAGCAAUUCACAGGGUCAUUUGCAGCUUUCUCCUCUUGAAGGAGCCGGAGCUGACACUGUAGUACGAUGCAUUAACGGGGUUUGCUUUGCCCUAGGUGGGGAGGUAGGACUCGCAGGAAAGGACUGCUCCCACUGUCCCUGCAGACUGUCCCACCACAGUUACAGGUCCUAUGUCCCUUUUGAUGCAGCUGUUGCCCUUGAAGGUUGAGAGGGACUUGGUAUUUGUGCUCUGCCUGUGGAUAGACUCCACCCCAAAGGUGAAAGAAGAAAUGGAUGACUUUGUCCAUCACGAAUUCCUACAGUGGGCCUUUAAUCUGCCUUAAUUUCCAGGUGCUCUUACUGAUGUAGACUACUGAAUGCCCCUGCAUCUAACUGGUUUAUUCCAGGAACUCAGGGAAGGUGUUCCAAACUUUUUGGGGAUCAUUUUUAGGGACUCAGGGCUCUCCUCUUUUCAUAUGAUCUGGCCUAGCCAGUAAUAUUUCCUGGGGUGAUUUUAGGUUUACUCCUCAGAUGUGAAUUUCCAGGUGCUGGCAACAGAAGGUUCUUAGUGGAAAGUCCCUGGGAUGUUAACUCAUUUCCUCUUUUUUUUCCACUGGGGUCCAUAUUUUCUAACUUUCAGUGUGCACAACCAGGAAUAUUUAUUUAAUUUAGCAUUCCUGAGUUUAGGCAAAAUGCCAGGAAUUAUUUUAUCAGUAGGUGGGGUGGGCAGAUGGUGGCAUGGCUUUGGGCAUCUGCCAGCAGUUGGCAAUUUCAUUUGUUUAUUUUUCUUUAACUGUGCACUCUACCUACACAUGACAUUGUGAUAAGGGGGCAAAUACCCACAAACGGUGAUGGAGGAGAUCAGCUUCUAAGAAGAUCUCCAUUAAGGUGAGAGCGUGUUAAACUCACAGCCUACAGUCAUCUAUGUGGACUCCAGGCAGCCUGUUAACCCAGUUCAACAAUGUGCGUUAAAAUGUCAAACCCCUCCUCAGGAAAAGUUUCCCUUGUAAGGGUACUAUGAAGGAUUUAAGUUUAAAUCAGUUGGAUUUAAGCACAGGCUUGUUUCCUGCAGUAGGACUUUGUUAAGUUUCAUUCUUUCCGGCUAAACUUCAGCAUUGCCAUGUAUUCUUCAGAGAUGAAAUGCAGCCAGGAAGUAAAUGUUUUCACUGAGAUUAGCUCUUGCACCCCGAGUCACUGGGAUUCGAAGCAGCCUGUGACUGCAUUUGGAAAUGGCCAAAACCAGGGGGGGAAAGUGUCCUGUUUCUGGGGUGGUUGCUGGAGCAAAUACUGACAGUGUGGUCAUCAAUGGAUGAAGACGACUUGCUGUCAUCUUGUGGUGGUAUGCCAAACACAUACUUCAUGGUAAGAGCUGAGAUACUGCAUGGUAAAGAAUGUAGGAAUAGUGAACAUGUUCCUGUAAUAAAGACUAGCAAAGUCUUAUUCGGUGUCAGUAAAGAUUAUACAGUUGGCCUUAAAGGCAGAAUCUAGGUGUUGGGAGAUGAUGCCACCUGUAUUACACACUCUGUGUGUGUUAUUUUCCUGGUUAUAGGGUGCACACAGCAGCACUUCGGGGAUCCCACAUUGCCCAUGAAAUGGCGUGGCGGUUUCCUGAAAUGCAAAAGGCUGAAACUGAUGCUCAUUAAAAUGCCAUCAGUGCCUUCAUCAGGGCUACAAGUAAGUAGUUAGCUAAUUCUGUGCACCUUUUUAGGAUAACACUUUCUUCUGUAAAGCUGGUUAUUGGAAAAACUUGCAUCCUUAAAAGAGCAGGCUGGUUUGUGAGCAUUACUGUCAUAUGUGACCUCCAACAUUUGAAUCUCAGAAACUUUAGGUGGCGUUUUUCUGAGUGCUACAGGUGCUCUGAUCAUAAUUCCUGUAAUAGUCCAGCCCAUAAAUACUCAGUAUAGUAAGUAGCCA